UACGGGGGGGGCAAGCGUUGUUCGGAAUUACUGGGCGUAAAGGGCUCGUAGGCGGCCAACUCAGUCGGACGUGAAAUCCCUCGGCUUAACCGGGGAACUGCUUCCGAUACUGGAUGGCUUGAGUGUGGGAGAGGGAUGCGGAAUUCCAGGUGUAGCGGUGAAAUGCGUAGAUAUCUGGAGGAACACCGGUGGCGAAGGCGGCAUCCUGGACUACUACUGACGCUGAGGAGCGAAAGCCAGGGGAGCAAACGGG
rnacentral:rRNA from 1 species